GGUUAAGCGACUAAGCGUACACGGUGGAUGCCCUGGCAGUCAGAGGCGAUGAAGGGCGUGCUAAUCUGCGAUAAGCGCCGGUAAGGUGAUAUGAACCGUUAUAACCGGCGAUACCCGAAUGGGGAAACCCAGUGUGUUUCGACACACUAUCAUUAACUGAAUCCAUAGGUUAAUGAGGCGAACCGGGGGAACUGAAACAUCUAAGUACCCCGAGGAAAAGAAAUCAACCGAGAUUCCCCCAGUAGCGGCGAGCGAACGGGGAGGAGCCCAGAGCCUGAAUCAGCAUGUGUGUUAGUGGAAGCGUCUGGAAAGGCGCGCGAUACAGGGUGACAGCCCCGUACACAAAAGCGCAUGUGCUGUGAGCUCGAUGAGUAGGGCGGGACACGUGGUAUCCUGUCUGAAUAUGGGGGGACCAUCCUCCAAGGCUAAAUACUCCUGACUGACCGAUAGUGAACCAGUACCGUGAGGGAAAGGCGAAAAGAACCCCGGCGAGGGGAGUGAAAAAGAACCUGAAACCGUGUACGUACAAGCAGUGGGAGCACCCUUUGGGGUGUGACUGCGUACCUUUUGUAUAAUGGGUCAGCGACUUAUAUUCUGUAGCAAGGUUAACCGAAUAGGGGAGCCGGAGGGAAACCGAGUCUUAAUUGGGCGUUAAGUUGCAGGGUAUAGACCCGAAACCCGGUGAUCUAGCCAUGGGCAGGUUGAAGGUUGGGUAACACUAACUGGAGGACCGAACCGACUAAUGUUGAAAAAUUAGCGGAUGACCUGUGGCUGGGGGUGAAAGGCCAAUCAAACCGGGAGAUAGCUGGUUCUCCCCGAAAGCUAUUUAGGUAGCGCCUCGUGAAUUCAUCUCCGGGGGUAGAGCACUGUUUCGGCUAGGGGGCCAUCCCGGCUUACCAACCCGAUGCAAACUGCGAAUACCGGAGAAUGUUAUCACGGGAGACACACGGCGGGUGCUAACGUCCGUCGUGAAGAGGGAAACAACCCAGACCGCCAGCUAAGGUCCCAAAGUCAUGGUUAAGUGGGAAACGAUGUGGGAAGGCCCAGACAGCCAGGAUGUUGGCUUAGAAGCAGCCAUCAUUUAAAGAAAGCGUAAUAGCUCACUGGUCGAGUCGGCCUGCGCGGAAGAUGUAACGGGGCUAAACCAUGCACCGAAGCUGCGGCAGCGACGCUGAUGCGUUGUUGGGUAGGGGAGCGUUCUGUAAGCCUGCGAAGGUGGCCUGUGAGGGUUGCUGGAGGUAUCAGAAGUGCGAAUGCUGACAUAAGUAACGAUAAAGCGGGUGAAAAGCCCGCUCGCCGGAAGACCAAGGGUUCCUGUCCAACGUUAAUCGGGGCAGGGUGAGUCGACCCCUAAGGCGAGGCCGAAAGGCGUAGUCGAUGGGAAACGGGUUAAUAUUCCCGUACUUGGUGUUACUGCGAAGGGGGGACGGAGAAGGCUAUGUUGGCCGGGCGACGGUUGUCCCGGUUUAAGCGUGUAGGUGUGUGUUCCAGGUAAAUCCGGUUCACUUUAACACUGAGGCGUGAUGACGAGGCACUACGGUGCUGAAGCAACAAAUGCCCUGCUUCCAGGAAAAGCCUCUAAGCAUCAGGUAACAUCAAAUCGUACCCCAAACCGACACAGGUGGUCAGGUAGAGAAUACCAAGGCGCUUGAGAGAACUCGGGUGAAGGAACUAGGCAAAAUGGUGCCGUAACUUCGGGAGAAGGCACGCUGACAUGUAGGUGAAGUGAUUUACUCAUGGAGCUGAAGUCAGUCGAAGAUACCAGCUGGCUGCAACUGUUUAUUAAAAACACAGCACUGUGCAAACACGAAAGUGGACGUAUACGGUGUGACGCCUGCCCGGUGCCGGAAGGUUAAUUGAUGGGGUCAGCGCAAGCGAAGCUCCUGAUCGAAGCCCCGGUAAACGGCGGCCGUAACUAUAACGGUCCUAAGGUAGCGAAAUUCCUUGUCGGGUAAGUUCCGACCUGCACGAAUGGCGUAAUGAUGGCCAGGCUGUCUCCACCCGAGACUCAGUGAAAUUGAACUCGCUGUGAAGAUGCAGUGUACCCGCGGCAAGACGGAAAGACCCCGUGAACCUUUACUAUAGCUUGACACUGAACAUUGAGCCUUGAUGUGUAGGAUAGGUGGGAGGCUUUGAAGUGUGGACGCCAGUCUGCAUGGAGCCGGCCUUGAAAUACCACCCUUUAAUGUUUGAUGUUCUAACGUGGACCCGUGAUCCGGGUUGCGGACAGUGUCUGGUGGGUAGUUUGACUGGGGCGGUCUCCUCCUAAAGAGUAACGGAGGAGCACGAAGGUUGGCUAAUCCUGGUCGGACAUCAGGAGGUUAGUGCAAUGGCAUAAGCCAGCUUGACUGCGAGCGUGACGGCGCGAGCAGGUGCGAAAGCAGGUCAUAGUGAUCCGGUGGUUCUGAAUGGAAGGGCCAUCGCUCAACGGAUAAAAGGUACUCCGGGGAUAACAGGCUGAUACCGCCCAAGAGUUCAUAUCGACGGCGGUGUUUGGCACCUCGAUGUCGGCUCAUCACAUCCUGGGGCUGAAGUAGGUCCCAAGGGUAUGGCUGUUCGCCAUUUAAAGUGGUACGCGAGCUGGGUUUAGAACGUCGUGAGACAGUUCGGUCCCUAUCUGCCGUGGGCGCUGGAGAACUGAGGGGGGCUGCUCCUAGUACGAGAGGACCGGAGUGGACGCAUCACUGGUGUUCGGGUUGUCAUGCCAAUGGCACUGCCCGGUAGCUAAAUGCGGAAGAGAUAAGUGCUGAAAGCAUCUAAGCACGAAACUUGCCCCGAGAUGAGUUCUCCCUGAGACUUAGAGUCUCCUGAAGGAACGUUGAAGACGACGACGUUGAUAGGCCGGGUGUGUAAGCGCAGCGAUGCGUUGAGCUAACCGGUACUAAUGAACCGUGAGGCUUAACCUU
rnacentral:rRNA from 1 species